AUUGAACGCUGGCGGCAGGCCUAACACAUGCAAGUCGGGCGAGUGGCGGACGGGUGAGUAAUGUAUGGGGAUCUGCCUGAUGGAGGGGGAUAACUACUGGCAACGGUAGCUAAUACCGCAUACCAUCAGAUGUACCCAUAUGGGAUUAGCUUGUAGGUGCGGUAACGGCUCACUUAGGCGACGAUCCCUAGCUGGUCUGAGAGGAUGAUCAGCCACACUGGCAAUGAGAAACGGCCCAGAAUCCUACGGGCGGCAGCAGUGGGGAAUAUUGCAGAAUGGGGGCAAGCCUGAUGCAGCCCUGCCGCGUGUAUGAAGAAGGCCUUCGGGUUGUAAAGUACUUUCAGUCGGGAGGCGUUACCGGCAGAAGAAGCACCGGCUAACUCCGUGCCAGCAGCCGCGGUAAUUC
rnacentral:rRNA from 1 species